GGCUUGUUGGUCUAGGAUUAUGAUUCUCGCUUCGGGUGCGAGAGGUCCUGGGUUCAAAUCCCGGACAAGCCC
rnacentral:tRNA from 1 species